CAAGGUUUCAGUUAAGAAACCCACAGGAAGAAGGAAAAUGAAACGAAAAAAAGCACUCGCCGGAGACCUUUAUGAGCAAGUCUUCUACUCGCUAGAUCUCAUUGAGAAAGAUUAUUUCGGGCUACAGUUUACCGACGCCAACAACGUCAAACACUGGCUGGAUCCGACCAAACCGAUCAAGAAGCAAGUCAAAAUUGGUCCACCGUACACACUUCGAUUGAAGGUCAAGUUUUAUUCGUCGGAGCCAAACACCCUGCGGGAAGAGCUGACCCGGUACCAAUUUUUUCUACAGUUGAAGCAAGACCUCCUAGAGGGCCGGCUAGAAUGUCCGGACGCGCAGGCCGUAGAACUGGCCGCCCUAGCGUUGCAAUCUGAGCUGGGCGAUUUUGACGAUACCGUCCACACGCCGGCGACCGUUUCCGAGUUUCGAUUCGUACCGAAUCAAACCGAAGACAUGGAGAUUGCAAUCUUCGACGAGUACCGAAAGUGCCACGGCAUGACGCCGGCCCAGGCUGAAAGCAGUUUCCUCAACAAGGCCAAGUGGCUGGAUAUGUACGGUGUCGAUAUGCAUACCGUUUUGGGCAAAGACGGUUGCGAGUAUCACCUAGGCUUAACACCAACGGGGAUCCUCGUCUUCGAGGGGAUACAGAAAAUCGGUUUGUUCUUCUGGCCCAAGAUAGGGAAGCUCGAUUUCAAGAAGAAAAAGCUAACGUUGGUCGUGGUGGAGGACGACGAUCACGGCCGGGAACAGGAGCACACAUUCGUCUUCCGAUUACACAACGAGCGGGCCUGCAAACACUUGUGGAAAUGUGCGAUCGAGCAUCACGCCUUCUUCCGGUUGCGGGCCCCAGUCAAAGGCAACUCGGCGCGGCAGAACUUUUUUCGCAUGGGAUCACGCUUCCGGUAUUCCGGCAAGACUGAGUUCCAAACGACGGUACAAAGCCGGGCCCGGAGAACGGUCCAGUUCGAGCGGAGACCUUCGCAACGGUUCGCCCGACGGCAAUCGCACGUACUUCGGGAACGACAAAAACAAGUCAGCCCGGAUCAGCAGCAGCAACAGAAUGCCGCGGUCGUCAAUGGUGAUGAUGCUCAGCACUCCACUUCCGGUACCUCAACUCCAUCCGCGAAUACGGUAAUUCACAAUCACAUCUCAGCGUCAGCGAGCAGCGCUUCCGACAUCGGAGUCCAAGUAGUCAACGGAAACCUACCGUCAAUAUGCUCGAAUAAAUCCGUCUCGUCCAGCGAAGAUGUCACCUUCGGCAAGCUGGGAUCGUUCGGAAAGGCUGGAAUCUCGUACCGAACUGAAGAACCAAUAGGUAAACUGAUCGACCAUGAUAUUCCGCCGAUCCGACCGCCCGGUUACCACCAUGGCGGUUCCUUUGGUAAAGCCUCCAUAAGUUCCGGGUUCAGUAUUAAGACGAAUUCCUCGGAUCGGGACAGCCAAAUUGAUACGCUGCUGAAGACGAUUGCCAAGGAUCCGUCGCCCUCGCUGCACGGAGUAGAACUGAACGAUGCUAGUAGCUUUAAGAUUACUAUUAACAAGACUUCGGAGCUGGAAACGAACAACGACACGUUGAAGAAGCUGGCCUCGGCUGUGGGUAGCCCCGGACCUGGUGGCGAGAAACCAAACAACCAGAUCAAGCUAUCAAACGCUGCCGUCAACUCGUUGCCCCCUAGCCAGAUCAAGUGCAAUAUCCUUAAAGCACGUGUAGAGGAAGAACUACAUCCGAAGCUUACCAACCACCAGCUCUACGUCCCAAGUCAACCGAUGAGUGAACUGACAGAUCCGAUUAGUGCAGCCACGUUUGUUUCGGUGGGAGGCGAUAAGUUAACCCUGAAUCUGACGGGCACCAUAACUCCAACGAUAAGUGGCCAUACCACAACCACAACUAUGAUCCCGAGUCCAACGGUGGUCACUCCCACGUCACCGAUUCAAGCGUUGAAAAGUUUCGUUCCGCCGGUGACUCCACCUCCCUCGCUCGUUUCUACCACCAGCACAACUGCCGUUCACAACAGCCUUCCGGAUCAAAGCUUGUUGCUGAUGGGCAGUCCCAGUAGCCCUACGGAUCACGUAACCGUAACCCACUUUUCCGAACAGAAAGGAGGCAUUGUGGAGAAAAUCAGUGUUCCCCCAUCACCAUUAUCCAUUGUCAACAACAAUAUUAGCUGUCUGCUUGAUACUUCCCUGGCAGUCUCACCUACUAACGAAAAACUGGCCAAUAAUAAUCCUUUCCUCAACAUGUCCACACCGUCCUCACCCACUGCCAUCUCGGUUUCGACGCCGAACAAAAUGUCAACCAACCCGUUCCACAAUAUUUCCGGUUCCUCAAGCAACAGUUCCGCAACCUCUGAUCCCACCGUACUUCAUCCUUUAUCGGAUUCCGUUACCAUUCCUAACAACAAUGCGGAGUUCAAGAGCAGUAAUCCUUUCAAAGAUAGUAGCAGCAGCAACUGUGAUCUAACGUCACAGCGAGCGCGUAGCAAAUCACCUGUCGCAAUCACUCGAACGGUAACAACAAGCAGCAAUGGCACCAGUAGGGCAACCUCACCCAGCACCAAAGUGGUGAGGAAUGGUGACGAACCGAAUUCGAAAGAUCGCAACAUUAAACGGACGGCCAGUUUCUUGCGAGGCGUCAAGAAGGCACUGGAUUCAGUGGUAUCGUCCACGGUGACGACAGCAGCGUCUAUCGAUUCGACGGAUGCACUUUCGUCCGGUCCGCAAAGCAAUGGAGGAGGAACUUUGGCGGACGAGAAGAAACUAAUCAAGAGUUCAAAAUGGCAAAUUCUAAAGAGCAGCGUUUAAAGCUUAUGCUGGAUUUGGAUUUUCCCAACUCUUUACUAGGCGAUUUUGGCGCUUGUGGAUUGAACUGGACAGAUUUUCUGGUUUGCUGCAGGGAAGAUUUAGAAGUCGAACUAUCCGCAGUAACCGAUCUACCUUGGGAUCAUGAUGGAGUUUUCCAAUCAAUAAAUUUAUGGCGAAAGCGUAAUGUAAGUAUUUGAAAUCGAAGUGGUUUUCUAUAAAUGUUCUUUUAUUUAAAAACGCGAGAGAUAAUUAAUUAGAAACUUACUUAGAAAUUCAGAUAAAUUUCACUCGAACGUCAUAGUGUAAUUCACUUGACCGGUCACUUAAAUGAAUUCACUUGACCCAUCACUUAAAAUUCAAAUGAAAUUACGUAUGGCGAGAAUUCACUACAGAUGUCACUUAUUUUUUAAGUGAAAAUUAUUUUGGGUGUUGAUCUUGUGCAAUCAACAAUAAAUAUAGUAUAUUCAAAUAUACUGGUAUAGUUGAUUUAAGUGUAAAUAUAAUCAACUAGUGUUUACUCUAGAAAUUUUAAGUUGAUUUUUAGGAAUAAUUUUAUCGGAGCGUUUUAUUUUCUCUUAAUUUUAUAUUUUGUUAGUGAAGAAACGCAUUUAUUUUAUGUCUGUGGUGCUGCUGUUACCCAGCCUAGGAAUUUGCGCACUUUGGACCGGUUAAUAUGAAUUUUCUUUCGGUCCUCCCAAUACGUCCUGCAAUUGAAAUAAAAUCUUAUUUUUCUAGAAAAAAGGAAUCUUUCAUAUUUAUAGUUAAAUGUGAGAGGUCAACCAGAAAUGUAUAGUUGAAUCUAUUAUAUUCAUAGUUGAGUGCUUAAAAUCAAUCAUACAAUUGUAGUUGAAUUUAUAAUAUUUACAGUUGAAUCGAUUAUACCAUUACAGUUGAAUCUAUAAUAUUCUAUUUUGUUUAUUUAUAGAGGAUUUUAACCAUCUUGGUCAUUCUUCCUCUGAGCUAUAAUAUUAAUAGUUAAAUGUGAGAGGUCAACCAAGAAUGUACAUAUAGUUGAAUCUAUUAUUUCUAUAGUUGAAUGCCUUAAAUCAAUCAUAGAAUUGUAGUUGAAUCUAUCAUGUUUACAGAUGAAUCGAUUAUACAAUUACAGUUGGAUCCAUUAUAUUCACAGUUCUUUGAAUAAGAUGAAUCAGCAGUUUGUCAAGUAUAUUUAUAGUUGAAUGCGAAAAAAUUAACUGCAUUUUGAUGAUUGGUAUAACUAGCUGAAAUAAUUGACACAACAAGCGUCUUUUUUCACCGUGUAGAAACGGAUCCAGGAUGUGUAACGACCAGAAUCGGGAUCAAGAUCUGGGAAUGUAUUAAAUUCGGGUUCAUGAUCAGAAGCCAUAAUUCGGAUUCGUGUUAACAAAUUAUCACCGCUGGUUUUUAUGAUUCUAAUUUCAUGAUUAAUGGCAUUUCGGUGAAGUAUACAUUCUAACAGGAAGAAAUUCAAAUGAAAGUAAUGAAAAUUAUAGACGGAUAGAUUAGAUUAGGAAGCAUGAAAGGUGUUGAAAAUGAGCCAAGAGCGUGAUUUGAGAAAACUUCUUGCCGCACAAGACCAUUUGUCCCACACCGUAUUAUUGUCUAGAAGAAGCAAAGUCGAUAGGCCGACUUUGUAUUUAUAGAUCAAUGUACGGGGUACGAAAAAUACGUGCUUCGAUCCAUCCAUGUAUCAUUGUAUAGAUCAAUGCAAAGUCAGCCUAUCGACUUUGCUUCUUCUAAACAAUAAUACGGUGUGGGACAAAUGGUCUUGUGCGGCAAGAAGUUUUCUCAAAUCACGCUCUUGGCUCAUUUUCAACACCUUUCAUGCUUCCUAAUCUAAUCUAUCCGUCUAUAAUUUUCAUUACUUUCAUUUGAAAUUCUUCCUGUUAGAAUGUAUACUUCACCGAAAUGCCAUUAAUCAUGAAAUUAGAAUCAUAAUUCGGAUUCAGGAUCAGAAUCCAGGAUCUGAAACCUAAAAAUUCAGACACAGGAUCCGGGAUCAGUCUUCAAGAUCAAGGAUUAAUAUUAACAUCAGGGGCCAGGAUCUGGAUCUGCAGAAAUCUGCAGAAAUUUGGAAUCAUGAUCAGAAACUGACAUCAGGGUUUAAGAUCUGGAUCAGAAUCCAGGAUCUAUGAUAAAUUUUCAUGAUCAGAAUUCAAGAUUCAGGUUUUUAGAAUCAGGAUAAAAAAAUCCAAGAUCAGGAUCGAGAAUCAAGAUCCCAGAUCAGAGGAUUCCUCAUUAAAUAGAACGUAUAAAAAGGGUCUACGAUAGAUUUGGGUAUCAGGAUUCAGGAUCAGGAUGAAUCUUUCAUCCUGAUUCUAGUUCCUGGGAAAAAAGAUCUAGAAUCAGGAUGAAAGAUUCAGUAUACGGUAUCAGAAUCAGGAUCGGAUUUUGGUUCAGGAAUAAAAAUCAAAUAAUAACUCGAAUGCUGAGAAAUGUUUUCCGACGCUCACUAGUGGUCAAGGGGUUAACUUCCUGAACUCUCAUGAUAGAUGUCGUGGGAUCAUUUCUCGGCUGUAUGACGAACUUUUAGCGCUGAUGUGGUCUAGCUAUUUAAACACCACAAAACAAAGCAAUCAGGAUCGGAUUUUGGUUCAGGAAUAAAAAUCAAAUAACAACUCGAAUGCUGAGAAAUGUUUUCCAAAAUGCAGACCCCAAUAAAAAUUUUCGGAUCAUAAAAUUACGGCUAAUUUCACUAACUGGUAAAAAAGCUCUUAAUAAAAUCGUUGAAGCUCCGUAUUUGUACCAUAACAGGUUCAUCGUUUGCAUGCAAUUGAAUCCAGGAGGUAAUGGAUUUGUACAUAUACUAAGUAGGGUAGGUACUAACCAAUAGUUCUACAGAAUGGUUUGCACUAUUAAGCACCACCGAAAAUCUUGUUAUAUCUCUUUAUUUUAACUAUACUCCAACUUACCGUAAGUAUUUUAACAGCAUUUUCCCCACCCGCUUGAUCCGAAUGAUCCCACCGUACGAAUGUUGCUAGACAAAAAUGGUUCUAUGGCCUGCCGUUUGCCCUAGAAAAACUCUUCCGCAUCUUCUUCACUACCGUUUGGCUACCUUUCUACAUGUAUCUAUUGUGUGUUUAUUCGUGUAGUGUGUUGUUAUGAGAAAACUCGUAAGCGUUAACUGCUUUGUGUUGUAAAUUGCUAUCGUAGAAUUGGAAAUUAACGCGUGACCAAUUGGUUUUCCUCUAAUAAAAGUUGAAUAUUUUUCCUUUGUCAAAAUUUACUCAAAAUUUAUACCAAAAACCACCUGACAACGAACGCACACAGGAAACACUGAAGGAAAACAUCAAACCCCACACGAUGGACAUUUCACCGUGGCUGGUGUCCUCGGACGUGGUGACGGGAUCGACCAAAUCCAAGGAAGCGACCAUCAUCCGCAAAUCGGUCAUCACGACGCAACUGUGAGCUG